rnacentral:rRNA from 1 species
GACAGAGGGUGCAAGCGGUGUCCGGAGUUACUGGGCGUAAAGGGCGAGGGGGCGGUCUGCGGCGUCGGCGCGGAAAGCGCCCCGCUUAACGGGGCGAGGCGUGCCGAUACGCGCAGACUUGAGGCGAGCAGAGGGUGGUGGAAUUCCGGGUGGUGCGGUGAAAUGCGUAGAGAUCCGGAGGAACGCCAGUGGGGAAGCCGGCCACCUGGGCUUGGCCUGACGCUGCGGCGCGACAGCGUGGGGAGCAAACCGG